GAAAGGAACCAUACUACGUUGAAAAUACCGGUUCUCGUACGAUUGCCACAGUCAAGCAACGUUAGGCUGAGUCAGUACUUUCAUGGGUGACUGACUGAGAAUACCGGGUUUCGCCGGUU
rfam:Schistosoma haematobium scaffold1490_16, whole genome shotgun sequence.